GCAGUGGUGGUUCACUGGUGGAAUCCUCGCCUUCUGUGCAGGAGCCCUGGGUUCGAUUCCUGGCCAGUGCA
rnacentral:tRNA from 1 species